UACAGAGGUCUCAAGCGUUGUUCGGAUUCAUUGGGCGUAAAGGGUGCGUAGGCGGCGCGGUAAGUCGGGUGUGAAAUCUUGGAGCUUAACUCCGAAACUGCAUUCGAUACUGCCGUGCUUGAGGACUGGAGAGGAGACGUGGAAUUACGGUGUAGCUGGUGAAAUGCGUAGAUAAUCUGCAGGAACACCCGUGGCGAAAGCGGC
rnacentral:rRNA from 1 species